rnacentral:ncRNA from 1 species
AAUAAGCCGCUAUACUAGGAAGCAAGUAAGUUUAAAAACAGAUUCAAAGAGAGUUGCAGGUGGUGAAAUUGCAGCAGUUAUGAUUAAACUGAAUGGGUCCUGGGAGGUUGGGGAUGAACAUAAGUAGUCCUUCACGUAAGCCUUACGUUACAAAGGCAGGAUAUCAUUGUGUAUCUUAUUAAUAAGGAAAAGCAUUAUGCUUUUUGAAUUAGGUGGCACCGCGUAUGUUACGCCCUAAGG